CUUUCGGGCUGCCAUACCUCAUGUGUUUACAAAAUUUCUGACAAAACUCAAACUUAAGUAAAAGAGAAUACUGGAGAAAACGUUACAACUGGGAUAAACAAGUGAAGAUGGAUUGGCUUGUUGAUGCAGACGAAGUGUCACAAAAUCUGGAACCAAAAAUUCAACAACUCCGUAAAAAGACUGGGGAAGUGUGUUUGAAUAUUUUGGAUCUUGGCUGUGGAACAUCUGAUGUACCUUCAGUGCUUCUCAAGAGAUGCAAGACACCUGUGAUAAUUUACUGUGUGGAUUAUUCUGAAGGAGCUCUUCAGUGGCAGAAAGGCUUACUUGAAGACCUUGAUCAAAAACAUGGAAAUCUUCUGUCCAACUAUAGACUUGUCAUGGCAGAUGUCUGUCAGCUACCCUUCAAAAAUAACUUCUUCCAUGUUGUCAUAGAUAAAGGCACCACUGACUCUCUUCUGAAAUCUAAAGAUGGUCAUCAAAUGGCUGUAUCAUGUAUGAAAGAUGUCCACCGCGUACUGCACCCAUUAGGAAACCUUUGGCAAAUUACUGAUGAAGACCCAGAUAUUAGAUUACUCUUUUUACAGUCAAUUCAAGAUGAAGCAAAUUUGAAGUAUUCUUCCUCAUUUGAAGUUUUGUUGAGUGAUGAUAUAAAUGAUUAUUUUCUGUAUACUAUCAAAGAGGAUUCUCUUGAUAAACCAUGAAUACCCAUAGAUUCAUAAGCACUUGUUAUGCCUUACGUACUUGUAUUUUGUUCACGAAUGAAAUUCGUAUUUAGCGUUCAUUUUUGUUUAUAUGAAAAUUAUUAAAAUAUUCUUAUUAAU
rnacentral:misc_RNA from 1 species